CAUGCAAGUCGAGCGAACAGAYGAGGAGCUUGCUCCUCUGAYGUUAGCGGCGGACGGGUGAGUAACACGUGGGUAACCUACCUAUAAGACUGGAAUAACUCCGGGAAACCGGGGCUAAUGCCGGAUAAUAUGCAGAACCGCAUGGUUCUGCAAUGAAAGACGGUUUUGCUGUCACUUAUAGAUGGACCCGCGCCGUAUUAGCUAGUUGGUAAGGUAACGGCUUACCAAGGCAACGAUACGUAGCCGACCUGAGAGGGUGAUCGGCCACACUGGAACUGAGACACGGUCCAGACUCCUACGGGAGGCAGCAGUAGGGAAUCUUCCGCAAUGGGCGAAAGCCUGACGGAGCAACGCCGCGUGAGUGAUGAAGGUCUUCGGAUCGUAAAACUCUGUUAUUAGGGAAGAACAAGUGCGUAGGUAACUAUGCGCACCUUGACGGUACCUAAUCAGAAAGCCACGGCUAA
rnacentral:rRNA from 2 species